rnacentral:rRNA from 1 species
CACGUAGGGGGCAAGCGUUGUCCGGAUUUAUUGGGCGUAAAGAGCUCGUAGGUGGUUCGGUAAGUCAGGUGUGAAACCUCCAGGCUCAGCCUGGAGACGCCACUUGAUACUGCUGUGACUGGAGUACGGUAGGGGAGCGUGGAAUUCCUGGUGUAGCGGUGAAAUGCGCAGAUAUCUGGAGGAACACCGGUGGCGAAGGCGGCGUCCUGGACCGGUAUUGACGCUGAUGCGCGAAAGCCAGGGGAGCAAACGGG